GGCAAUGGCAAACUGGACCUUCCUGAACUGGCAGUUUUUCCACUUCGAGAACAAAAAGGAAUUUCAGGAAGCCAUUGCCGAGCACGCACAGGCCGAGAAGCGAUGAUGCGGCUCAUUUCGCCAGACAGUAAAAGUCGUGAUGUCAUGUACGCGGGUGAAGGGUUUUACAAUAAAAUAUAAAAAAGCA